GGAGAGGUGCCUGAGCGGCUGAAAGGGCUGGUCUCGAAAACCAGUGUGGCGCUCGUCGUCACCGUGAGUUCGAAUCUCACCCUCUCCG
rnacentral:tRNA from 1 species